AACGAACGCUGGCGGCAGGCCUAACACAUGCAAGUCGAGCGAGGACUUCGGUUCUAGCGGCGGACGGGUGAGUAACGCGUGGGAAUGUGCCCUUCUCUACGGAAUAGCCCUGGGAAACUGGGAGUAAUACCGUAUACGCCCUAUUGGGGAAAGAUUUAUCGGAGAAGGAUCAGCCCGCGUUGGAUUAGGUAGUUGGUGGGGUAAUGGCCUACCAAGCCGACGAUCCAUAGCUGGUUUGAGAGGAUGAUCAGCCACACUGGGACUGAGACACGGCCCAGACUCCUGCGGGAGGCAGCAGUGGGGAAUCUUAGACAAUGGGGGCAACCCUGAUCUAGCCAUGCCGCGUGAGUGAUGAAGGCCUUAGGGUUGUAAAGCUCUUUCAGCUGGGAAGAUAAUGACGGUACCAGCAGAAGAAGCCCCGGCUAACUCCGUG
rnacentral:rRNA from 1 species